rnacentral:rRNA from 1 species
UGGGGAAUAUUGCACAAUGGGGGAAACCCUGAUGCAGCGACGCCGCGUGAGCGAAGAAGGCUUUCGAGUCGUAAAGCUCUGUCCUAUGAGAAGAUAAUGACGGUACCUAACCAGAAAGCCACGGCUAACUACGUGCCAGCAGCCGCGGUAAUACGUAGGUGGCAAGCGUUGUCCGGAAUUAUUGGGCGUAAAGCGCGCGCAGGUGGUUUAGAAAGUCUGAUGUGAAAGCCCACGGCUCAACCGUGGAGGGUCAUUGGAAACUAAUAAACUUGAGUGCAGGAGAGAAAAGUGGAAUUCCUAGUGUAGUGGUGAAAUGCGUAGAGAUUAGGAGGAACACCGGUGGCGAAAGCGGCUUUUUGGCCUGCAACUGACACUGAGGCGCGAAAGCGUGGGGAGCAAACAGG